rnacentral:lncRNA from 1 species
GUGACUUGGCUAGGAGCAUUGUCAGGACGAAUUGUUUUCUGAGAUAGCAGACGGUUUGGAAAUCAUCUGCCGUGACAGAUCGAACUGACUAGAAUUUCAAUUCUCCGUUCCUGGAGUGGUGAUGAGAAGGGCACAUACGGGAAAUUAACUCUCCUGGUGUAACUGAAAAUGACAGCACACGGCAUGGUCGGAGCACAAACUGCAACUAAGAAGGAAGAAUAAAUGUGAGAUGACAAGGAGGAGAAGGGUUGGUGGAGCUAGAUGCAGGAAGGAAAAGCAGGGCUCUUCAUGGAUAUGGAAGACUCUGAAAGGGAAGAGCCAUGGAAGAUACGCCAACACUGAAGGAAAAAGAGGUCCACCAUCUAGAAUUCUCAGCUUUAAGAUUGGCUGCUAUGGAAGUUUGUCACAGCUAUUAAUUAGUUAUGGAUUGAAAAGUGAAGCAUAAUCUGUGAUCUUAUGAAUCUACAACCACCUCAUGGUCGAUCACACAGCAAUAUUUCAGUCAGUUGGGCUAUGUUUAGUUUGUGUAAGAAUGUAAGAAGAAAUUAGCCAUGCACCAUAAAUUUAUUUCUUACACACAACCGAAUGAACAUAUUUGGCUUUUAAACCAGACUAAUUAUUCACACAGUUUGGCAAAUAUUCAAAAUACUGCCAGAGUGGGAACUAAUGCAAUAAAACUAAUUUUUACACAUUUUCAUUUUCUGUGAAAAUUGUUCUUCCAAUUCCUGUCCUAAGUAUUUACUUUACAGUUCAUUAGAAAAUGUUUAAUCUCCACCAAACUGUAUUCAAAACGGUGUAUUUUCUGUCCCGUCAUAUUACAUCACUGGCGAGUAAUAAUCCAAGAAGGUGUUAUUGAAAAGUAAUGGAAGUCGCUUGGGAACAACACUUGGUUUUGAAAGUUUCCAGUUUGCAGAAGAGGAACCUCA